UAAACUGAUUAAAUGCUGAUGUGAAUGCAGUAUGAAAUGCUGAUACACAGACUGAAGAGCUGGUGGUGUCUAAUUGCUUAUUAAUUAAGCUACAAAAACACAUUCAACUGCAUUGAUAGAACAAUUUUGCUGUAAUUGAAAAACCAUCUAUGUCAUAAGGAUAUAAACACUAGAAAAAAAAUGGGCACAUGUGCUGGUUUUUGCUGGGGUGGAGAUAAUUUUCUUCAUAGUAUUAAUCAUGGACUAUGUUUUGGAUUUGUGCUGAAACCAGUAGUAUUGAUAACACAGGCAUGUUUUAGCAGUUUUUAAGCAGGGCUUACACAUCGUCAAGGCCUUUUCUGCUCCUUACCCAACUCCAUCAACCAGAAGGCUGGGCGGGCACAAGGAGUUGGGAGUGGACACAGCCAGAGCAGCUGGCCCCAACUGAGUACAGGAAUAUCCUAUCCUAUAUGAUCUUGUGUUUAGCAUGUAAGUCUGGAAGGAGAAAGAGGAAGGGGAUCAUUCCAAGUGACAGAAUUUGUCUUCCUAAGUUGCCAUUACAUGUGAUGGAACCCUGCUCUCCGGGGAUGGAUGAACAUCUAACCUGCCUGCCCAUGGGAAGUGAAUUGUCCUUUACUGGCUUAAAUCAAGAAGAGUACUGGGUGUCUGACAGGAAGAGUUAUGACUGAGGAACCACAGGCUUUUACACCCUUCUGGCUAUAUGACUACUACAGUGAAGGGGAUUGAUGAAGGAGAGAAGACAAAAGCAGAAAAGAGAAAAGCAGAGCUAGGAAAUGGAUUGGUUUGAAUAGCCUAUUCCCAGGGAAAAAUGACCUUGUUCGAAGAGAAGUACUGGUUAAAUCU